AGUCCGUCAGCCAUUUUGUUCUGCAGUUACUUGUUUCAUUCGAGCUUCGCGUAGAUGCCUCACAGUUACACCGAGCCUACUACAUGGCGCUUCUUUUUCGUCUGCUGCCGUUGAAGUGUCUUUGGCCAUAGCAGAUGUGAACCUCGAGAUUCUGACGUUACAACUAUCAGUAUGAUCAUGACCGUGGCAAACUCAAGAGACAUUUCUGUCACCAGACUCGGCUUUCAACUCAGCUUAACCAGGAAACCAAAAUCACCAUCAGAAUUUGAUCAUUUGGAGAUCAUCAUUCCAGUAACGGUGGGAGGUGUAGCCGUACUCCUGAUGGUCGUAGCUAUGUGCUGUG